ACCCACCGCCGGCUCAUCCGCAGUAAAUUUCUCCACACAUCACCUACCUGUAUUACCCAGUUGUCCACCGCCGCCAUCCAUGGCCGGGACUCCCGGGCGGGGGAAGAAGGGGAGGGACGCGCGAGCGAGCUCGAAAUUCUGAGCGUGGCUACCGGGACGGCGCGCUUGCGGUUGCGGGGGUGGCCGCCCGGUCGUGGGUGGUCGAGUCUCCACGAGAUCCCUCCCUGGGUCCCUGCGCUCCCCCCGGCGGUCGGGUCUCCACGAAAUCCACCAAAUCCUUCCCACCACAACAACUCCUCCCGCUUCCUCCCCCACAACAACUUCUGCGCCGGACCCGGACCCGGCCCAUCCUCAUCCUCGCGUCGUCGUCGUCUUCUCCCCUCGCGUCGCCUUCUUCACCGCCGACAACCGGCAGGAACGCUUAACCGACGCCAUCUCCUUGCCUCGCGGGAUCCCAUCAAUAAUGGGGUGGCUUCGCCAUGGGCAGGCCAAGUCCGAGCCCGUCGGUUGGCCCUCUACGGCCAACCUGCACCGGACUUGUCGGGGCCUUCUCUGGCUCCUGCAGGCGGCGGUACUGCGAGACGGCGGUGGCCAGACAUUGCGUGUCGACCUUGUGCUUUCAAGCGACAUAGCUGCUGGUGGAUGGCGGUCACGCAGCAGGGCUCCAAAAAUUGUUCCAGCUGUUCCCUCCCACAGGGGCCCCCCAAAUUGGGCAAAAUUCACCUGGUUGCGGGAGCAGGUGGUGCCAAGGCUGGCGCUCACGCCGCAUCGAGCCAAGCAGCCAACUCCAAGGUUCAGCUCAGCUGCGCUCAAGGCCAGACAAUCACUGAUUCACCAUCCAUGUGGUGCAUCCUAGAUAUUGUUCAUAUAGAUACAUGUGCCUCAGGAAUUGUGACCCCAGUAGAAGAUAGCCAGUAAUUACUGCAAAGCUGAUCUACAUGUUAUGCCAACCAUUUUGUUGUCGAAUUUUACUAUUUCAAUCCUGAUUUCCCUGCCGGGCAAUGGUCGUGAUUUCACCGCAAAGCUGGGCUUCUAGGUGUGAUAAGUUACUGCCCUGGGAAGGCUACAGGGGUUGUUACAAACAAGUCGUUCAGCAAACUUCUCUUGAGACAUCUGACUUGCUUAAAGAUAUAUUGCACUCUAGGUAUCGUUAUGUCAACUAUUGAUUACUCCAGGCCACACUCCAUUCAAGGUCCCAGACUUCAACAUUGCCUACCAGUAAGGCAUCAUCUUUUAGCAUUGGCAGGGUGCGCCAUAUAUGUUCAAGUGCAGUUGCUCUCAAAAUAUCCAUAUAUGUUCAAGUGCAGAUGCUCUCAAAAAUAUCAGUAGCAAAUCCAAGGAUCAAUGCAGUAUGCGGAAUAAAAGAAUCAUGCAAGCACCUAAGGUAGAGAAAGGAAAUGCAUAAAGUACAUUUUCUACAUGCCGGUUUGCAAAAGUAUAAAAGAAACGUGUAAAGUAAAUUUUGUACAUGCCGGUUUGUAGAAGUGUAUUAGCUGAAUCUGGCUUCUUUUGUUCUCUUAAGCAAUUAGAGAGCUUGGAAGAACAGCUAGCUGAGGUUUCCACGGAGAGGACAAAGGCAUCCGAAACGAUUCCGUCACCGCGGAUAUUAAUUCCGGUGGAGGAUUCCCUUUGUGCAUCAUUAUAUCACAUAUAAGUUAUGUCUUGUAUCUGAGAUAUGCCACUGAAAUGUUUUCAAGCAUUAUCAUUUUCGAGUAAUAUGAUUUGGCCUGGUACACUGACACUUAUUUCCCUAACAGCAAAACAAUAGAGUGAUUGUCAUUGUUUCAGUUAUAGGUGAGGCAAUGCACGACUUGAUCCUUUAUCACCUUGGUUAUGUAUAUUUUCUCUUUUGUUUCUCCUUUUUAAUACUUUUCUACUUCUCUAUUUAUUUAUCAAAUCAAGUUUUUUCACUUCUUGACUUUCAGUUAGAUUAAGAAAGAUACAUCUUCUCACCGCAUUGUCUAGAUUGUGAUUUUGAUUUAUGAGUAUUGAUGGUAAAACUAUGUGCUCACAGGGAGAUUGGAAGAAUAAUCAUGCAAACUUCCCUGCUGAAAGAUUUCUUACCUCCAGAUACCAAUGUGUUGCUUGCAUAUAGGAAUACAGGGUUCACCAAACUCGAUAACAGCCAUACGAGCUAGACAUUAUUGUGGACAAUCAAGAGGCAUGCAACCCUCUAUCCAUGUCCAGACAGAGGCCAGGUUAAUAACAACAUCUGCCUUUGCACUACACUUCUGAAUUUUAUUUUUACAUUGUUUCAAGAUACCCUACUUCCAUGAAACGGGUGCAGCCUUGAUUUGAAUAGGCGAGCUCAGGUCAAAGGCCAAAGAAAAAAACACAUAUCAUGCAUACCACUGAGGAGUCGGUCCGGUUGAAACUUAGAUAUCAAAACCAUACAAGCCAUCUAUGCUGCCUAUUAGAAAGGAGAAAAGGAAGAAGAGCGCCUUCUCAACUGGAUAGAUGUUGGCUGCCCAAUUGAUGCCAAAGUCGAGCCUUCCACAAGGAGCUCACUCGUGCUGCUCUUCCUUAACAUAAUAGGCGAAUGCAUGGAAAUUAUUGUCCUAUACCCUGAUUGCAAGGACAACUUCCACAAGUAUUGAUGGUUUUGCAAGUAGGAAGAAUCAAAUAAUUUUCCCGGCAUGGUGUUCUACUGUUCUUUUAGGCUCUGGUUAUUAUCAAAUGUGUCCCCUGUUAUAUAUUUAAUUGUAUUGUUCCAUUUAUGUUUGAUGGUGGAAUGAAAAUUACGAGGAGAUACAAACUUAUCAACUAAUCUGCACAUUAAUACAUCUAUAAUGUAUAUGUA